GUGGAUGUAGCUCAGUGGUAGUGUUUAUGCAUAGCAUGUGUGAGGCCCUGGGUUCAGACCCCAGCACCCACC
rfam:Ictidomys tridecemlineatus contig079294, whole genome shotgun sequence.